rnacentral:piRNA from 1 species
UAUUUGUGCAGAUGUUCAUGA